CCUACGGGUGGCAGCAGUCGAGAAUCAUUCACAAUGGGGGAAACCCUGAUGGUGCGACGCCGCGUGGGGGAAUGAAGGUCUUCGGAUUGUAAACCCCUGUCAUGUGGGAGCAAAUUAAAAAGAUAGUACCACAAGAGGAAGAGACGGCUAACUCUGUGCCAGCAGCCGCGGUAAUACAGAGGUCUCAAGCGUUGUUCGGAAUCACUGGGCGUAAAGCGUGCGUAGGCUGUUUCGUAAGUCGUGUGUGAAAGGCGCGGGCUCAACCCGCGGACGGCCCAUGAUAAUGCGAGACUAGAGUAAGGGAGGGGGAACCGGAAUUCUCGGUGUAGCAGUGAAAUGCGUAGAUAUCGAGAGGAACACUCGUGGCGAAGGCGGGUUCCUGGACAUUAACUGACGCUGAGGCACGAAGGCCAGGGGAGCGAAAGGGAUUAGAUACCCUGGUAGUC
rnacentral:rRNA from 1 species